rnacentral:rRNA from 1 species
GACGUAGGGCGCGAGCGUUGUCCGGAUUUAUUGGGCGUAAAGAGCUCGUAGGCGGCUUGUCGCGUCGAAUGUGAAAACUCGGGGCUCAACUCCGAGCUUGCAUUCGAUACGGGCAGGCUAGAGUUCGGUAGGGGAGACUGGAAUUCCUGGUGUAGCGGUGAAAUGCGCAGAUAUCAGGAGGAACACCAGUAGCGAAGGCGGCACUCUGGGCCGGAACUGACGCUGAGGAGCGAAAGCGUGGGGAGCGAACAGG